GACAGAGGAGCCAAGCGUUGUCCGGACUGACUGGGCGUAAAGCGCACGCAGGCGGCGCUGCGCGUGGGGUGUGAAAGCUCUUGGCUUAACUGAGAGAGGCCAUCCCAUACGGCAGUGCUCGAGCGGUGCAGAGGUCCGCGGAAUUGCCGGUGUAGUGGUGAAAUGCGUAGAUAUCUGGAGGAAUACCGGUGGCGAAGGCGGCAUCCUGGACCAAUACUGACGCUGAGGCGCGAAAGCUAGGGGAGCAAACGGG
rnacentral:rRNA from 1 species